ACGAACGCUGGCGGCGUGGAUAAGACAUGCAAGUCGAACGAGAGAAUUGCUAGCUUGCUAAUAAUUCUCUAGUGGCGCACGGGUGAGUAACACGUGAGUAACCUGCCCCCGAGAGCGGGAUAGCCCUGGGAAACUGGGAUUAAUACCGCAUAGUAUCGAAAGAUUAAAGCAGCAAUGCGCUUGGGGAUGGGCUCGCGGCCUAUUAGUUAGUUGGUGAGGUAACGGCUCACCAAGGCGAUGACGGGUAGCCGGUCUGAGAGGAUGUCCGGCCACACUGGAACUGAGACACGGUCCAGACACCUACGGGUGGCAGCAGUCGAGAAUCAUUCACAAUGGGGGAAACCCUGAUGGUGUGACGCCGCGUGGGGGAAUGAAGGUCUUCGGAUUGUAAACCCCUGUCAUGUGGGAGCAAAUUAAAAAGAUAGUACCACAAGAGGAAGAGACGGCUAACUCUGUGCCAGCAGCCGCGGUAAUACAGAGGUCUCAAGCGUUGUUCGGAAUCACUGGGCGUAAAGCGUGCGUAGGCUGUUUCGUAAGUCGUGUGUGAAAGGCGCGGGCUCAACCCGCGGACGGCACAUGAUACUGCGAGACUAGAGUAAUGGAGGGGGAACCGGAAUUCUCGGUGUAGCAGUGAAAUGCGUAGAUAUCGAGAGGAACACUCGUGGCGAAGGCGGGUUCCUGGACAUUAACUGACGCGGAGGCACGAAGGCCAGGGGAGCGAAAGGGAUUAGAUACCCCUGUAGUCCUGGCAGUAAACGGUGCACGCUUGGUGUGCGGGGAAUCGACCCCCUGCGUGCCGGAGCUAACGCGUUAAGCGUGCCGCCUGGGGAGUACGGUCGCAAGAUUAAAACUCAAAGAAAUUGACGGGGACCCGCACAAGCGGUGGAGUAUGUGGCUUAAUUCGAUGCAACGCGAAGAACCUUACCUGGGCUUGACAUGUAAUGAACAACAUGUGAAAGCAUGCGACUCUUCGGAGGCGUUACACAGGUGCUGCAUGGCCGUCGUCAGCUCGUGUCGUGAGAUGUUUGGUUAAGUCCAGCAACGAGCGCAACCCCUGUUGCCAGUUACCAGCACGUGAAGGUGGGGACUCUGGCGAGACUGCCCAGAUCAACUGGGAGGAAGGUGGGGACGACGUCAGGUCAGUAUGGCCCUUAUGCCCAGGGCUGCACACGUACUACAAUGCCCAGUACAGAGGGGGCCGAAGCCGCGAGGCGGAGGAAAUCCUGAAAACUGGGCCCAGUUCGGACUGUAGGCUGCAACCCGCCUACACGAAGCCGGAAUCGCUAGUAAUGGCGCAUCAGCUACGGCGCCGUGAAUACGUUCCCGGGUCUUGUACACACCGCCCGUCACAUCAUGGAAGCCGGUCGCACCCGAAGUAUCUGAAGCCAACCGCAAGGAGGCAGGGUCCUAAGGUGAGACUGGUAACUGGGAUG
rnacentral:rRNA from 1 species